ensembl:lncRNA
AACAUUAAGGUUUUUCAAAUUCAAAACAUUAAGGUUUUUCAAUUUAUUUAACUUAAACAGUGACUAACAAAAUGUAUCUUAGUUGAAAAUUCUACUUUCAUAUUAUAUUAUUUUCACACUUUUUAUAUCAUAUACUUUAUGUGAAAUUGAGUUGUAAUAUUUAUAUAUAUAUAUAUAUAUAUAUAUGUGUGUGUGUGUGUGUGUGUGUGUGUGUGUGUAUACAUAUAUAUAUAUGUGUGUGUGUGUGUGUAUAUAUAUAUAUAUAUAUAUAUACACAGCGGGUAAAAUAAGUAUUGAACACGUCACCAUUUUUCUCAGUAAAGAUAUAUUUCUAAAGGUGUUGUUGACAUGAAAUUUUCACCAGAUGUUGGUAACAACCCAAGUAAUCCAUAAAUAAAACAAAACAAAUAAGUUCAGAAAUUAAGUAAUGUGUAAUAAAAUGGAAUGUCACAAGGAAAAAGUAUUAAACUACUGAAAUUUAUUUAAUACUUCGUACAAAAGCCUUUGUUGGUAAUGACAGCUUCCAGACCCCUCCUGUAUGGAGAAACUAGUCGCAUGUAUUGCUCAGGUGUGAUCUGGUCCAUUCUUCCAGACAGUCUUCGAAUCUUGAUGGUUCUGUGGGCCUCUUAUAAGAACUCUGAUCUUUAGUUCUUAUUUUCUAUUGGAUUCAAGUCAGGUUAUUGGCUGGGCCAUUCUAGCAGUUUUAUUUUCUUUCUAUGAAUCAAAUUGAGAGUUUCCUUGGCCAUGUUUGGGAUCAUUAUCUUGCUUAAAUGUCCGCCCUUGUUUCAGCUUCAUCAUCCUGGUACUGUAGGUGUUGGGACUGAACCAGCUAAUAUUAAUUUCUACUGACAAGGGGAGGAUUGUUUUCUAAUUACAGAUAGAUUUCUUGGCUUUCCAUGCCUUUUUGCACCUCCCUUUCUUCAUGUGUUCAAUACUUUUUCCAUGUGUCAUUCCAUUUUAUUACACAUUUGUGGCAGGGGGGGCGUGGUUUAGCGAAGUCUGCAGCGGGAGAGAGAAUCAGGAGACGAUCGGUAAGUGAGUGGUUUGGGCAGAGACGAGCAACACCUGUCUCUUGUUUCAGUAAUUGGCGUGGAGAGAGUAUAAAACGCCAGGAGAGACAGAAGCAAGACAGAGAGAGAGACGGACUGCUGACGUGACCCCAAACCGGAAGAAGUCACCCGGAAGUGUUAUGUGAUCGUGUCGUUGUUGAUGCUAGAGUAAAAGUCACCGUUGGUGCAAAGUUUAUUUGUGUUAUAAUAAAAGAUACGUCAGCAGUCCA